AUCCAGCUGAUGAGUUCCAAAUAAGAUGAAACGUGCGUCUUGGAU
rnacentral:hammerhead_ribozyme from 1 species